rnacentral:rRNA from 1 species
AUUGAACGCUGGCGGCAUGCCUUACACAUGCAAGUCGAACGGCAGCACGGGUGCUUGCACCUGGUGGCGAGUGGCGAACGGGUGAGUAAUACAUCGGAACAUGUCCUGUAGUGGGGGAUAGCCCGGCGAAAGCCGGAUUAAUACCGCAUACGAUCUACGGAUGAAAGCGGGGGACCUUCUGGCCUCGCGCUUUAGGGUUGGCCGAUGGCUGAUUAGCUAGUUGGUGGGGUAAAGGCCUACCAAGGCGACGAUCAGUAGCUGGUCUGAGAGGACGACCAGCCACACUGGGACUGAGACACGGCCCAGACUCCUACGGGAGGCAGCAGUGGGGAAUUUUGGACAAUGGGCGAAAGCCUGAUCCAGCAAUGCCGCGUGUGUGAAGAAGGCCUUCGGGUUGUAAAGCACUUUUGUCCGGAAAGAAAUCCUUGGCUCUAAUACAGUCGGGGGAUGACGGUACCGGAAGAAUAAGCACCGACUAACUACGUG